UGUUAGUUGCAGGCCAGACUGGUCUAUAUAUCAACAAAAAGAUGUACUGCCUUUCCCUGGCCAGUCAGUGCCAGUCGCCCUGCUAUGAGUGCUCACACAUGUCACUUCUGUCUCUGUCUUCCAGAGCCUCUGUAGAUGUCACAUGACACCUGCACAGCAACAGAUAUGGAGACCAGAGCAGAUCUGCAGCAUGAAAUCACAGAUAGCCCAGAAUGCAAGGAAUACUAUACCAAAGACACCAUGCAAAAAAUGAAGACAUUCUUUUCCAUGUAAAGGCCUUAAAAAUGAUGGCUGAUGCCAGCACCAUCUUGCUGCCCUGUCCACUCUCCCUCCUAAAGUUGGAAUCCAGACACCUGUCCCCUACUUCUUCUGCCUUCUAAGCUUAGUCUAAUAAACACCUGCAGCUGUG